AGAGUUUGAUCAUGGCUCAGAGUGAACGCUGGCGGCAGGCCUAACACAUGCAAGUCGAACGGCAGCACAGAGGAGCUUGCUCCUUGGGUGGCGAGUGGCGGACGGGUGAGGAAUGCAUCGGAAUCUGCCUAUUUGUGGGGGAUAACGUAGGGAAACUUACGCUAAUACCGCAUACGUCCUGCGGGAGAAAGUGGGGGACCUUCGGGCCUCACGCAGAUAGAUGAGCCGAUGCCGGAUUAGCUAGUUGGCGGGGUAAAGGCCCACCAAGGCGACGAUCCGUAGCUGGUCUGAGAGGAUGAUCAGCCACACUGGAACUGAGACACGGUCCAGACUCCUACGGGAGGCAGCAGUGGGGAAUAUUGGACAAUGGGCGCAAGCCUGAUCCAGCCAUGCCGCGUGUGUGAAGAAGGCCUUCGGGUUGUAAAGCACUUUUGUCCGGAAAGAAAAGCGCUCGAUUAAUACUCGGGUGUUAUGACGGUACCGGAAGAAUAAGCACCGGCUAACUUCGUGCCAGCAGCCGCGGUAAUACGAAGGGUGCAAGCGUUACUCGGAAUUACUGGGCGUAAAGCGUGCGUAGGUGGUUUGUUAAGUCUGAUGUGAAAGCCCUGGGCUCAACCUGGGAACUGCAUUGGAAACUGGCUUACUAGAGUGCGGUAGAGGGGUGUGGAAUUCCCGGUGUAGCAGUGAAAUGCGUAGAUAUCGGGAGGAACAUCUGUGGCGAAGGCGACACCCUGGACCAGCACUGACACUGAGGCACGAAAGCGUGGGGAGCAAACAGGAUUAGAUACCCUGGUAGUCCACGCCCUAAACGAUGCGAACUGGAUGUUGGGGGCAACUUGGCCCUCAGUAUCGAAGCUAACGCGUUAAGUUCGCCGCCU
rnacentral:rRNA from 1 species